rnacentral:tRNA from 1 species
AAUAAGGUGGCUGAUUAAAGUGGUAAAUUGUAAAUUUAUUUAUGGAUUAUUUCCUCUUAUUA